GUUCCAGACUCCUACGGGAGGCAGCAGUGAGGAAUAUUGGUCAAUGGGCGGAAGCCUGAACCAGCCAAGUCGCGUGAGGGAAGAAGGCCCUGCGGGUCGCAGACCUCUUUGGACGGGGAGCAAGGCCGCCGACGUGUCGGCGGAAGGAGAGUACCCGUAGAACAAGCAUCGGCUAACUCCGUGCCAGCAGCCGCGGUAAUACGGAGGAUGCGAGCGUUAUCCGGAUUUAUUGGGUUUAAAGGGUGCGCAGGCGGCACGGCAAGCCGGCGGUCAAAUCGCGGGGCUCAACCCCGCCCAGCCGUCGGAACUGCCGGGCUAGAGUGGGCGAGAAGUGCGCGGAAUGCGUGGUGUAGCGGUGAAAUGCAUAGAUAUCACGCAGAACUCCGAUUGCGAAGGCAGCUUGCUAGGCCGGAUCUGACACUGAUGCACGAAAGCGUGGGGAUCGAACAGGAUUAGAUACCCGGGUA
rnacentral:rRNA from 1 species